AAACAGGAUUUUACGUCAUAUUUGACGAUGAUUGACAGCCGCAGAUCUUGCGUAGCUCUCUUUGUGAAUAGCAAAAGUUACGUAGUGAAGGACCGCUGAGACGCCAUUGAACAUUUCCACUCCGUGUUUGUCUCUCUUGGACUGACAGAAUGAGUUGUUCUGCUGUAAACACAUCUAACCAACCUGUGGGAUUUAAGGAUAUCUGCGUUAACUUGGUGACCAUGAUGCAGCCAGACUGAAGCAGCACGUUGUGAAGGUGGACGUCAUCAUCUUGUCUUUGCAGCGCUGAUUCUGAAGAGAACGCCUUCACAUAGGACUCAAAGGAAAUCAAUGCUCAAAGGAAACAGCAGUCCAGACUCUGAUUCCAGCUCCGGUGAGGUUCUGCACACAAAUUGGCUGUCUGAUUCGUUUAAUGGGAUUGUUCUCUCAUUCCUUAUCUGCAGCUGCAGUAUCCUGUUUUACCACUUUAACUUCAUCAUCACACCUCAUUAUAUUGGACCGCCUGCACUUGACGCUUUUGUGACUAAGAAUGGUCAAAAGACGUUUCACACGCGCCCUUUCUGUGACACGCUGAGAGCCUUAAGCAGAACGCCUGAGUUAACAGACAAAGUUCAUAAUCAGCUCAUGCUAUCAGAUAUCUUUAUCUGGGGCUUCUGGCUUUGCUGAACCAGCUUUCUCAAAGAAAGCCUGGAUAUGUUGAACUUGCUUCAGAUACAACAACUGACCC